CCACUGCAGAGGGUUAGAGGGGGGUGAGAAGAGACAUUUAUGUUUUAAGGAAUCUUCAGGUAGGUAUGGAGGGAAAAACACUCUGGAAGUCUGCAAUCUAUCAUUAAUCUGCUUUAGUUCAUGGCUUUCCCGACCACCUCCUAUGUACUGGAACCAAAGACUUCUAGCUUGCCGGCAGAAAGUUCGCCUGGUUGCCGCCUAAGGCAGGAGCUCAGCCAAUCACUGCUGAUGUAUCCAAUGAUGGGCUUAGCAAGGGUUGAAGACCCCAGAUUCCCACCUAAGACCGGCACGGUUCCCUUGGGAUUAUGGCCUUGUAAAAAUAAAAGAGGGACCUGUGGGGGGCCUUCUGGCACCUUGCUGCCCCCCAGAAUUCUUGGCAUUUGGUUUAAUGACAAUAGUGCAUUCCUGGCUGACCUGGGGCUUUCGUGUUAUAAGGUCAUCUUCCUGAAACACUUUAAACCCUCCUUCCCCCUCGGGGCUUCUGAGUAACACUUCUGAGGAACUUUCCAAACAAUCUUAUUAACACAACUUGUGACUUUGUUGGGUCUCCUGUGAUACACCGUCCUGUGAUACACCGUUAUUAGCACAUCAUGUGACCCCUCUGGUGAGUCAUCCUGUGAUUCCUAGUCACUUAGUAACCCUGCCAAAGGCAAGUACAUUCCUUUCGCCAAGCCUAUAUAAAGGAUGUGGAAAAAAUAAUAAACAGAGACCUUGAUCAGAAAAAACAAAAAAAGAAAGUUCAUCUGGUGGCCUGAAGCCCCAGGUUCUACCUUCAACACUUCAUAAAACAGUCUGCAUCCAAAUAGAACAGGAUGAAACUUAAGUGGCAGAGAAGGAUGGAUGCUGAAAUGGGAACUGGUUAUUAACUUACCAAAAUGCAGCCGGGCUCUUCUCCAGCCUGAAAGGCAAAGAGGGUAUCUGUUAAAGCUGAGAAGAAAUGGUGGCCUCCCCGAACGCAGAGCCAAACCCGGGAGAGAGCAACCCACCUGCAUUGGCAGCAGCUCUUUUCAACUCUGAGGAAGAAGAAACAGAGGGGGUACUUCUGGUUUCUCUAGAGGGCCCACCUGGCCGGUGCGCUCCCCUGCCUAGCAUUAUCCCUGCCAGAGAAUUGAAGUUAUGCAUCUGAGAGGCUCUACCAAGCUAAGGGCUAGACACAGAUGAGCCAAAUGCCAAGAAGGAUGAGGAGUCCCAAGAUGGGCAAGACCACAGAGAGAGCCACCUCUGGAGAGGACAGACUUCCCGGAGCUGGGGCUGAAACGGAG